UGGGGAAUAUUGCACAAUGGGGGGAACCCUGAUGCAGCGACGCCGCGUGAGUGAAGAAGUACUUCGGUAUGUAAAGCUCUGUCAGCAGGGAAGAAAAUGACGGUACCUGACCAAGAAGCCCCGGCUAACUACGUGCCAGCAGCCGCGGUAAUACGUAGGGGGCGAGCGUUGUCCGGAUUCACUGGGUGUAAAGGGAGCGUAGACGGCAGAGCAAGUCCGGAGUGAAAUCCCGGGGCCCAACCCCGGUGGUGCUCUGGAAACUGUUCGGCUGGAGUGCAGGAGAGGUAAGUGGAAUUCCUAGUGUAGCGGUGAAAUGCGUAGAUAUUAGGAGGAACACCAGUGGCGAAGGCGGCUUACUGGACUGUGACUGACGUUGAGGCUCGAAAGCGUGGGGAGCAAACAGG
rnacentral:rRNA from 1 species